CAAAUUUAUUGGUAAGAUUUUGUGUUUUUGUGUCUGAAAAAAGUUCUGAUCCAAAGUGAGUUAAUUGAUCAAAUCUGAAGCUAAACGUUUCCUUCCGGCUCUGGGACGCCAUUUUGUUUCCUAACAGGUAAAAUCCUCCGUCAGCAGCUUUCUGCCUCACUCAUUCGGUCUAAAUUCAGCCUGCAGCUCUUCGCCCUGAAGGCCGUUUGGCGGCUCGGGUUGAGGACAGAGGAGACCGAGGCUGUCGCUGUCUGUCUCUGUCCUCUAGCGACACAGCGUCAGCCGUCAAUAGUUUGCAUGUUUAAGGUUUCUGCGCUGCAGACAGCAGUGCCGCUAAACACGCUGCAGCUCUGCAGGCUGCGUAUCCAUGGCAACGUAAACAGCACCGCUGCGACAGCCGGACUUCCUUUACCCUUGGAUUUGACACCAGCGGUUCAGGGAUUUAGCUCCGUGCUAAAUCUGUCAGUGACGCUGGAUGAGUCCCAACAUUCAGCUGGAGCCGGUCCCACUGGAUCUCACAACAAGCUUCAGUCUCAACGAUGAAACAGAACGAUCCUAUGGAAGCUCAGAGGGGACAUUUUCAGCAUGGCUUUCUCCAGAUGACCCAGCAUGGUUUUCCGGUCCGGUCCGGUCCGUCACUCAGCUGCUCAGACUGGAAUGUUUAUGGAUCCAGCCGCUUCCUCCCGGCUCCGGUACCGGACAGACGAGGCGUCCAGGACGUCUCCCAUCAAGACGAGCCUCAGCCACACAGUGAAAGGUUCGUCUGAGCCGCUGACUGGACCCAGAGUCUUCCUGCGAUUGUGCAGAAACUCUGCGCUUAAAGAGAAAACAUAGAAAACAGGAAAAACGUUAAAAUAAACAACCUGAAACCAUGA